GGGAGACAUUAUGGCAGACACUGAGACACUAAGGGACAGUGGGAGACAUGGGGCAUUGAGACACUGAUACAUAGGAACACUGAGACCUGGAGUAAUCGACACAUGGAGGCACUGAGAGACAUGGGGGCACUGGGAGGAAUCCAUCUAUACAGCAGAAUCAAACCAAGUAGUUUUUUGGUGACUUUACAGCAUUUUCUCUUAUAUCACUCCUUGUGAUUUACAUCAUGUGAUGUCACCCAUACAUAUUUAAUUAUGCAAAUUAGCAAGGCCGGUAUGUUUUUCCA